rnacentral:rRNA from 1 species
AGAGUUUGAUUAUGGCUCAGGAUGAACGCUAGCGACAGGCUUAACACAUGCAAGUCGAGGGGCAGCAUAAAAGUAGCAAUACUUGGUGGCGACCGGCGCACGGGUGAGUAACGCGUAUGCAACCUACCUAUCAGGAGGGGAAUAACCCGGCGAAAGUCGGACUAAUACCGCAUAAAACAGGGGCACCGCAUGGUGAUAUUUGUUAAAGAAAUUCGCUGAUAGAUGGGCAUGCGUUCCAUUAGGUAGUUGGUGAGGUAACGGCUCACCAAGCCGACGAUGGAUAGGGGAACUGAGAGGUUGGUCCCCCACACUGGUACUGAGACACGGACCAGACUCCUACGGGAGGCAGCAGUGAGGAAUAUUGGUCAAUGGGCGGGAGCCUGAACCAGCCAAGUCGCCGUGAAGGAAGAAGGAUCUAUGGUUCGUAAACUUCUUUUGCAGGGGAAUAAAGUGCAGGACGUGUCCUGUUUUGUAUGUACCCUGAGAAUAAGGAUCGGCUAACUCCGUGCCAGCCGCCGC